AUAGACUCUAGAGUAAGAAGAAAUGAGUAUGACAAGAGAAAAAUCAAAGAUGCAAAAAAAGUAAAAAGUGUACAGGUUAGCUAUAUUUCUAAACUCUAACAAACAUCCGAGAACUCAACCAAACAGUACAUAUUCACAAUAUUUAUCAAUGUGUUUGUGGUCCUUGUUUGGUCGGUCGAGGCUCAGGUGUUCAUCCACCACCUACAAUUUACCUCACACAACACCCUCACUCCCUCACUGUCUAUCAACGGCCAGUUUUUGUGGAAGCAUGGACCUACAGUAUCAACCAGUUGAUAGCAUCGAUGUGUUUCUACCUAUGUGACCCAAAGCUUUUGGAGGUGACUCAGCGGACCCCACAAAGAAGAAAUCACGCAAACAUGAGCAUCUGUUAUAAUGGACAAGGCCAUCUACAAAACCCUCCAAUCAGACAGGUGUUUUUUUUCCCCAUUCUCUCCAUCUUACUGCUGACAAUACCUGCCUACACAGCCCCAUGGAAAUGAAGGAUAACAACUCCAGGCGCCUGUUACCAACUCCAGUAGCUCCAUCUACUCAGCCACCCAGGCACCCAGAGAGAUACCCAACAUCGAUCUUCAUAGAAGAAGGACUGGACUUGGAGAGGUGGCAACCAGACCGGUCUGUCUUCCACAUAAUGAACUGAGAGACUACACUGUGGCACUGACUUCAUUCUGAUCCACCUUCCUGGAUUAUGAAUACAAGUGCACAUGGCGAUACAGGUGUGUCAGGAUGACCAUGUUCUACAUCAUGAUACAGAAUGGAUUUAAAUGAAGAGUGACUCUAUCCUAUGGAGGAUGUGUAAAAACUGCAGUGUGGUGACAUGAGGAUAUUUGCCAGAUGAGAAGACAGAUAAAUAAGGAAAAGCAACAACAGCCUAAGCAAAUGUCUCAUUAUGGUUAUAUUUGGCUAUAAGCCCACACCACACUCACAUUUAACAGCCCUGGUGAUGAGGAACAGUUUGAAGAUCCCUUCCCUCCCCAAAUAUCUGGUAGCAGAGUGGUAAUAAGUUACAUAUUUGCUUAGAUAUUUUAAUUUCGGUAAUGAGGAUAUUUGGGGAAUGUAGUUUGUAGUUUCUGGAGAAGACAAUGAAAGAAGUUGGACUGAAUUGAUAUAGUUUACGAUUUGGACGAUAUGGGACUGUAAGGAAGAUAUUGUUGUACAGAUAAGACAUUCAAACAGUGAUGCAACCUUUAAAGGUUUUGAGGG